UGGGGAAUUUUGGACAAUGGGCGAAAGCCUGAUCCAGCAAUGCCGCGUGUGUGAAGAAGGCCUUCGGGUUGUAAAGCACUUUUGUCCGGAAAGAAAUCCUUGGCUCUAAUACAGUCGGGGGAUGACGGUACCGGAAGAAUAAGCACCGGCUAACUACGUGCCAGCAGCCGCGGUAAUACGUAGGGUGCAAGCGUUAAUCGGAAUUACUGGGCGUAAAGCGUGCGCAGGCGGUUUGCUAAGACCGAUGUGAAAUCCCCGGGCUCAACCUGGGAACUGCAUUGGUGACUGGCAGGCUAGAGUAUGGCAGAGGGGGGUAGAAUUCCACGUGUAGCAGUGAAAUGCGUAGAGAUGUGGAGGAAUACCGAUGGCGAAGGCAGCCCCCUGGGCCAAUACUGACGCUUAUGCACGAAAGCGUGGGGAGCAAACAGGAUUAGAUACCCUGGUAGUCCACGCCCUAAACGAUGUCAACUAGUUGUUGGGGAUUCAUUUCCUUAGUAACGUAGCUAACGCGUGAAGUUGACCGCCUGGGGAGUACGGUCGCAAGAUUAAAACUCAAAGGAAUUGACGGGGUCAUAGCUGUUUCCU
rnacentral:rRNA from 1 species